rnacentral:rRNA from 1 species
AUACUGGCCAGAGACCGAUAGCGCACAAGUAGAGUGAUCGAAAGAUGAAAAGCACUUUGGAAAGAGAGUUAAAAAGCACGUGAAAUUGUUGAAAGGGAAGCGCUUGCAGCCAGACUUGCCUGUAGUUGCUCAUCCAGGUUUUUACCUGGUGCACUCUUCUAUAGGCAGGCCAGCAUCAGUUUGGGCGGUUGGAUAAAGGUCUCUGUCAUGUACCUCUCUUCGGGGAGAACUUAUAGGGGAGACGACAUGCAACCAGCCUGGACUGAGGUCCGCGCAUCUGCUAGGAUGCUGGCGUAAUGGCUGUAAGCGGCCCGUCUUGAAACACGGACC